UACGGGGGAUGCAAGCGUUAUCCGGAUUUAUUGGGUUUAAAGGGUGCGUAGGCUGUGAGGUAAGUCAGCGGUGAAAUGCCCCCGCUCAACGGGGUGAAGUGCCAUUGAAACUGCCAUGCUGGAGUGCCGGAGAGGUAAGCGGAAUUCCUAGUGUAGCGGUGAAAUGCGUAGAUAUUAGGAGGAACACCAGUGGCGGAGGCGGCUUACUGGACGGUAACUGACGCUGAGGCUCGAAAGCGUGGGGAGCAAACAGG
rnacentral:rRNA from 1 species